ACCACCUCCAGGAAGCCCUCAGGUAUUUGGGAAACAAGGUAGCAGGACACAGGCUGGGUCACUUGAAGAGGAGCCGCAGAGUAGCAAUUCCAGCUGCGUAGCAGCCGGAGGGCCUGCCCUGGACGACUUCACCACGUGACCUUCAGAUUUCUGGCUGCAGUGGUUGUCCUUGGUGUUUGAAGACUUUCCCUCUGCUUAGACACUUUGAUCAAGACAUUUGCCGGGAUGAAAGUCUCGUUCUACCUUGACGGUGCCCUGUUCUCACCAAUAAGGCAGCUCUAACACACCUACAGUGAGGACACUGUGGCCAGGCUGCUUCCUUGGGGCUGAGCUACAAUCAAAGGGGGCACUCCAACACUCACCUGGAACCCUAAUGAAGCUACGGAGGUGUUGGGGGUGGGCAGGGAUCCACGGGCGGGAUGGUAAAGAGAGGGAGAAGUGCAAAGCUAGGUGCCAGAGUAGGAGUCUCUGCCCCAACUUACUUCUCCAUCGUGCCUAGGAGGGCAAUUUAGAUAAUUCAUUGUGUCAUACGUG
rnacentral:lncRNA from 1 species